GGCAUAGCAGCUGCAGGCCAUUGGCAAGGCCAGAAGACGGUCCAGGAGUCGCAAGUUAUCUUGGGACCUCAAAAGGAGAGGAAUUUACUCAACUCACAGGAUAUAUUAUUCAACCCAUCCACAAGAGCAUCUCUCCAGGAGAAAUAAACAGGCGUUACUUUUGAUGAACUAGAGCUAUUCUAAGUAAAGCCUUCAGAUGAGUUCAGCACCAAUCAACAUUCUGAAUGCAACCACGUGAGGACCCUGAGUCAGGUCCACUGAGUCAAGCUGCUUUGGAAUUCCUGACCUACAGAAACCGAAUACCAGGAUAGAGAGAAAGAGAAGCCACAAUGAUACCACAGAAAGAAAGCUAGACAUCUUCAUUCAGGGAAACUGCAGGACAGAGAAGGUCAAUGCUGUCCCUAAGGCCGCACUGCUAAGGAAAAAAAAAAAAAACCUCACAAAAGAAACAAAGAAUCAAUGAUUGUGAAGAUAUUGGACAUCAGGGAAAAAAGUACGGUGAACCCUGAGGAAUGGAAAACAAACAAGUCUCUCCUGUAUUUUCUUGCUCUAUUGGAGCCAGAUACCAUGCUGUGAGCUGCCUCAGGGGAGACCUAAGUGGCAAGAAACUAAGGAAGACCCACAGCCAACGGUCAAAGAGGAACUGAUACCUGAAAACAACAAUGCUCGUAAGUGGAAGAGACUUGCCUUGUCUCAGAUGAGACUUGCCUUGUCUCAGAUGAGACUUUGGACUGUGUACUUUUGAAUUAAUCCUGAAAUGAGUUAAGACUUUGGGGGACUGUUGGGAAGGCAUGAUUGGUUUUGAAAUGUGAGGACAUGAGAUUUGGGAGGGGCCAGGGGCGGAAUGAUAUGGUUUGGCUUUGUCCCCAUCCAAAUCUCAUCUUGAAUUGUAGUUCCAUAAUCCCCACGUGUCAUGGGAGGGACCUGGUGGGAGAUAAUUGAAUCAUGAGGGCAGGUUUUUCUCAUGCUGCUCUUGUGAUAGUGAACAAGUCUCACAAGAUCUGAUGAUUUUAUAAAGGGCAGUUCUCCUGCACAUGCUCUAUUGCCUGCUGCCAUGUAAGAUGUGCUUUUGCGCCUUCUUUGCCUUCCACCGUGAUUGUGAGGCCUCUCUAGCCAUGUGAAACUGUGAGUCUACUAAAUCUCUUUUUCUUUAUAAAUUACCCGGUCUUGGGUAUUUCUUCAUAGCAAUAUGAAAAUGGACUGGUACAAGCCAUCUUUGAGAGAAACAAAGUUUCUAAAUACUGCAGAGACAAGAAAUUGGUAGAAUUAGGAGGCAUCAUGGAGAACUUCAGAGAUUUGUGAUUGUUCUUGUUCCACUGCUUGUUGGCAUCUGCCAUAAACUAUUGUCACUAAGUUCCUAUGCAUCAUAAAAUACCAAUGUCCAAACGAAUUUUCUUAAGUCUUGCUAUAAAACCACUCUAUGGAAGUCAGUAACAGAAGCAGCAGCUGAUCAACAUGGCAUAUAGCAAUCAGAAAUUGCUUGUCUCAUUUUUAGCAAAUUCCACAUGUAGCCCAAGAGAUAAUAGAUUGCGUCCUAUCCUUCCAAAAAUGCUGCUGGCUGUUCAUGAAGACAAUAUCAUUCCUGUCUUCUGACUGAAAGGAUAGAAGCUUUAAAUUUAUGCAGAUUGAGAUAAAAUCAUCAAAUAUAACAAACAUAACUGUGUGUGUAUGUAUACAUCUGUUGGUGUAAACAUGAAGAGAUACAUAACAGACAUUUACCAGACUGCUAGUUUUUAUUCCUUAGGAAACAGGAAAAGUGAAAGUGAUUAUUAAAUCAUUCCAUUUAUGUCGCCUCAUUAAAUAAAUAUUAAUGUUUUCUAGCUUAUUUAUAAAUAUGUAAGUAAUAAAACAACAUUUUAAAUGUGAAUAAAGAUAAAAUUACUGUGAUUCUG
rnacentral:lncRNA from 10 species